UGCAUACAGACAGACAUGGUGUGAAUCAUUACAGCCAUACUUCCACUGAGACACCAUCUGAAAACAGAUCAUCUAGGCUUCAGCCAUGCAUGAAUGUUCACACAAGCAUAAAUGCUGUCAAGUUGGAGCUGGAUGCAUUGGUGCCUCGGUACAGUGAAAUCAACGAGGCAUCUUCCUUGUCUGAUAUUAUGAAACAAGUUGGGGCAUCUUUACCUUUUUGUUCGGGGGUGCUACCUUCUUAUUCUUUUGUAUCUCAAGAAAAAAUAUAUAACAUCGACUUCCUUUUUACCUGCCACAAAAACAUGGAUUCUGUGUUUGUCUUGAUAUGUUUGUUUGAUAUCAUACCAAACAUAGCUCUUGCACACUUUAAAUCAUUCUUAAAACUCGUGCAGCAGUCAAUCAAGAGGUAACAAACAUUUUCCCUUUAUCCACUCUGAUAACUGAUUGGCAGGCUGUUACUGUUAUGAUUCUGGACUGUUUGUCUGCACCAUCUCUGUCUGCAUGGUGAUCAUCUCUAUGCUGAUUGCUUUCACCUGCUCCUUCCCAGCCAGCUACCUAAUUACACCACACUUGCUCCACCUGUGCACCUGGCUUUUUAAGCAACACACUGACAGACAAACAGGGCCAGAUUAUUGAAAGCCUAUGUGUGAGUAAGUGUCCAGCACUCCUUCCUUCCUUCCUUCCUUCCCUGGCUGCCUGAUCCUGAUAUCGUUUUUGCCCCUCGAGUUCUCUGCUCUGCCUUGCCCACGUCGGAUCCACCUGCCUGAAUCUGUCUCCCCGUUCAUGACCUCGUUUCUCUGCCCUGACCAACGAUUCAAGCCUUUCCCUCGGAUCAUGACACCUGAUUCUGCUUCCCCGGCUCUGAUCCAGUUUAUGUCCCCUAACCACCGCACUCUACCUGUUUACUGGGCUUGCAAACCUGAGAACAUGUGUGACGUUGUCCUGCUGUCUGCAGUCCAUCACUCUGAGGAGCCAAAAUUCAGUUUCCUUAUUUUCCCAUGGAUUCUGAAAAGAGGUUCCUGAGCCUAUCUGCUGGUGGUUUCCUGCCGAACGUCACCCAGAGCUUUCAAUAAAUCUUUUGAAUCUUA